rnacentral:lncRNA from 1 species
AACUACAUUAGUAGGUUGAGCAGGACGCAUAUGGAAAAAAUAGGAUAUAUUCCUUGUUUUGCAAACAGUCCAUAAUAAAGCACCAGAACCAAUAGAUACAACGGCUCUACUCUUUGCUAGUAUAGGUCGGCAGCCAAUUUUGAUAGAGACCAAAGAAGGAUGUGGGCGUUGACUAUACCUCAAGUACAGUAUAUGGUUUCUAACCCCCGCGUCGCCUCCCCCGGCGGCGGCGGGGGAACCCUAGCCGCACUGCCUCGGCACCCUCCCCACCUCGUCCCACCUCGCCGCCGCCUGAGGCCGCCACCGGGCAAGCCCGGGGCGCCAAGGAUGGUGGCGGCGGGGUCUCGGCUGCCCUGCCUCUGCGUGGAGAGUCUCAGAUCUGGAGUGGCGGCUCCUUUUGGCGAGGCACGGCAAGCUCCGGUGAGCAGCCGUGUGGAUAUAUGGAAAAAAUAGGAUAUAUUCCUUGUUUUGCAAACAGUCCAUAAUAAAGCACCAGAACCAAUAGAUACAACGGCUCUAUCUUUGGUAGUAUAGGUCGGCAGCCAAUUUUGAUAGAGACCAAAGAAGGAUGUGGGCGUUAUGGGGUUACCCAAUGCCCCAGAAACCACAUUCCAUUGACACAGGAGACUAAUAUUCCUAACUUCAAGAUUAGUAACUCCCAACCCCCUCGAUCUCUAGGAUGACAAACAUCCAACCAGAUAACCAACCGAUACUUUUACACUCCAUCCUUCUCUUGCCAACAAACUAUACAAGCACGAAAGAAAUCAAGUCUCUUACCAACACCUCUAGGCCAACGAAAAAGGGACAAUAAGAGAAUAGGAAUAUUACUGACACAAGUAUCACAGAGAAUAAACGAGGCCCCAUGGAGUGAAAGAUCCCUUGCCAUGAAGCUGCCAUUUUUCAUAUUUGUCCUCAGGUGGCUCCCAAUCAAGAUUACAUAACUUUUGAAAAUGUAGAGAAAUCCCUAAAUAUCUAAAAGGAAAAUCACCUACUAUGUAAGUAAAAAUUUGAGCAUAAUCAUUCUAUUCCAGCAACGCAUCGCUAAAACAGUGGAUCUUGCUCUUCAGAACUUAAUUUUAGCCAUGUUCAAUG